UACUUGCCUGCUUGUGUGCUUGCUUGCUUAUUCAUUAAUUUACUAUUGACAGGGAGAGGACAGAAAGGUUUACUAUCUGUCACGACUUGGGAAGGUUCCAACCUACUUGUGCCUUUUGUUUAUCCUGGUGAGGUUUGCUGUCCUGCUCUACUUUGAAGUUCGAAAGAAAUGGUUCCCUUUUGCAAGUGGGAGGAGAAGUGGUGGUGGAACCUCUGAUAUUCGUUUGGCUAGAGAGCCAGAGAUAGCCCACAUCAAGGAGCUGUUAAAUCCAGGAUCAAUCCUGGAUUUUUGGGAGAUGAAAUGGUAUCCAAAGCUGCUGUACCCAAUAUACAAACCAAGAAAAGACUUCUUAUUCUCGACCCAGCUCAUCUCAACCAUGUUGGUGUGUGCUAUUACGGUCUUCCAGCUUCUCGUGGCCUUCCUAGCCUCCUUUGAUGUUCGGAGGAGGAAUGAUAU